UUUCUAGAGCAACGAUGGGAGUCAAACUGAUCACUGAUCAAUCAACUAGAAAUUUAAAUUCAAUAUUUGUAGAACUACGAUUGUUUCCAGUAAGAAAUUCACUUCAGAUUCCUUUAAAUCUGCGACUGGUUCUCAGCACGCUGGGCUGACGUUUAAAACUUCAACUGACCAAGUGCUUUACCCACAAUUCACUGCUGCAUGUCAUGCUUUGAAUGCAAAAGUGGAAAUAUCGCAAAAAAUGUCAGUUUUUAAAAGCAAAAUAAUAAAAUUAGUUGUUUUUCUGCGCUGUACAUGUGUGAAAACUACCAGACUUUGUUCUGUCAAAUACAUGUGAGCAGAAAAAUAUCUCAGCAAAGCAGCGCAGAAGCCAAAGCGCUGACCGGUCCACCAGGCUGCAUGUUGAGGAUCCAAAGUUGAUGACGUAACAAACUCUCCAGUGUUUGCAGGUUUGUGACCGGCGGACUCUGACCGAGUUCACACUCUACACAAAAUCACAACUUCUGCACUUAGGAAUCCUGAAAAAUCGACUUUCAGUUGUUUACUGAAUCCACCAUGUUGAAUAAUUCUAUGAUUUUUAUUUUUAUUUCAGAAAAGCCGGGCAGCUAAGCAAACCUCACACUGGUAAAUUAAGUUUCCAAUUUUUAUGAACAAACUGAUUUUUGUUUAACUGAUUGAAUUUGAUCCUGUAUGGAAUCUUACAGAACAGUUUUGAAUAAAUGUUUUUGUUUAGCCUUUUUCUCUUUCAGUCGCAUCAUUUAACCAGAAACUAUAAACUAGUGGAGCCCAAAGUGGGUCCAGGAGGCCCAAAGUGGGUCCAGGAGGCCCAAAGUGGGUCCAGGAGGCCCAAAGUGGGUCCUGGAGGUUCCAAAGUGGGUCCAGGAGGCCCAAAGUGGGUCCUGGAGGUUCCAAAGUGGGUCCAGGAGGCCCAAAGUGGGUCCUGGAGGUUCCAAAGUGGGUCCAGGAGGCCCGGCAUCCUGCAUGGUUUGGUCUCUCCCUGGUUUAACGCACCUGGAUCGAGUAAUGGCUCGUUAGAGGCCCAAGAGGAACAAACUGAAAAGGUUUUACUACGACCAGGGAGAGAACUAAAACGUCCAGGACCCACUUUGGACCCCCUGCUAUAAAUAGUAUGAAUAGAAAAAUUGGUUUCUGGAUUGAAAAGUGAAAAUGUGAACCAAAUCGCUGCAGCAGCUGCGUUAAGUGCAGAAAACUGUUCAUAUUCUACUGAUGUGGAAAAAACAUGAUUGCAAAUUUAAAAUCACGUGAAUAAGUUUGUUCACACGAUGAAACAUUAAAAAUCAUCCUGAUAAUACAAAACAGUUUAUAUCAUUGGGAUUGUUAGAUUUACUAUUUUGUAAUAAAUAUCCGAGACCAUCUGAGGACAUGUGAGCAGUUCAGUGACAUAAAUCACACCUUGAUGCACCUGGAGGCCUAAAGAAGCUGGUUACACACAGGGAUGUUUUCCAACAGCUGCGUUUGUGGAGCUACGAUGGCCAUGAAAGUCCUACAGUUAACUGAAACCAAAGAGAUAAAAACUAUUUAUCAUCGUUGUUACAAUAAAUCCUGAUCCAACUUAUCGCUCAGCUCUUCUGUGGUGAAUGUCAAGGCUGCUGGUGUAGAGCGAGUUUUGGAACCGCGUCAUCCCAACUAAUAAACGACUCCACCUGAACCAGACAGAACCUGAAGUCUGAUCAGAACCAGAACAGAACCGCAGCAGA